rnacentral:miRNA from 1 species
UUUUUAGUAUAAGUAUAUCCCAUGCAACGAUUGGGGUAUACUUAUGCUAACU